UACGGAGGGUGCAAGCGUUAAUCGGAAUUACUGGGCGUAAAGCGCACGCAGGUGGCUGAGUCAGUCGAUUGUGAAAGCCCUGGGCUUAACCUGGGAAUUGCAGUCGAUACUACUCAGCUAGAGUAUGGGAGAGGGUAGUGGAAUUCCCGGUGUAGCGGUGAAAUUCGUAGAUAUUCGCAAGAACACCAGUGGCGAAGGCGGCUUACUGGUCCGGUUCUGACGCUGAGGCGCGAAAGCGUGGGGAGCAAACAGG
rnacentral:rRNA from 1 species